GACGAACGCUGGCGGCGUGCCUAAUACAUGCAAGUCGAGCGAAUGACGAGAAGCUUGCUUCUCUGAUUUAGCGGCGGACGGGUGAGUAACACGUGGGCAACCUGCCCUACAGAUUGGGAUAACUCAGGGAAACCUGGGCUAAUACCGGAUAAUCCUUCGAAUCACAUGUUUUGAAGUUGAAAGGCGCUUCGGCGUCACUGUAGGAUGGGCCCGCGGUGCAUUAGCUAGUUGGUGGGGUAAUGGCCUACCAAGGCAACGAUGCAUAGCCGACCUGGGAGGGUGAUCGGCCACAUUGGGACUGAGACACGGCCCAAACGCCUACGGGAGGCAGCAGUAGGGAAUCUUCCACAAUGGACGAAAGUCUGAUGGAGCAACGCCGCGUGAGUGAUGAAGGUUUUCGGAUCGUAAAACUCUGUUGUAAGGGAAGAACAAGUACGUUAGGAAAUGAACGUACCUUGACGGUACCUUAUUAGAAAGCCACGGCUAACUACGUGCCAGCAGCCGCAGUAA
rnacentral:rRNA from 1 species